AGAGUUUGAUCAUGGCUCAGGAUGAACGCUGGCGGCGUGCCUAACACAUGCAAGUCGAGCGAUUCUCUUCGGAGAAGAGCGGCGGACGGGUGAGUAACGCGUGGGUAACCUGCCCUGUACACACGGAUAACAUACCGAAAGGUAUGCUAAUACGAGAUAAUAUACUUUAUCGCAUGGUAGAAGUAUCAAAGCUCCGGCGGUACAGGAUGGACCCGCGUCUGAUUAGCUAGUUGGUAAGGUAACGGCUUACCAAGGCGACGAUCAGUAGCCGACCUGAGAGGGUGAUCGGCCACAUUGGAACUGAGACACGGUCCAAACUCCUACGGGAGGCAGCAGUGGGGAAUAUUGCACAAUGGGCGAAAGCCUGAUGCAGCAACGCCGCGUGAGCGAUGAAGGCCUUCGGGUCGUAAAGCUCUGUCCUCAAGGAAGAUAACGACGGUACUUGAGGAGGAAGCCCCGGCUAACUACGUG
rnacentral:rRNA from 1 species